AAAUAACUCUCAGACUUUCUGGAUAUCAGACCAGAACUAGUCUUUUUCGCCUGGCAGCAGUUUGGAAAGAAGAUUCCUCAAGCCAAUCAGGAAAACCUGAAUGGCUGAAAUGGAAUGAAAAAUGACCUCUGAGAGAUCUUGGAAGUCUCUUCAUAAAUUACAAGAUUCUUCAAAAGAAGAAAGCAUUAAAAAAUCUGUUAAAGAAAUUCAAGUUUCUGAACGAGUAAUAGCAAAGCUAAUCUCC
rnacentral:lncRNA from 1 species